GGGCCCGCACAAGCAGUGGAGUAUGUGGUUUAAUUCGAAGCAACGCGAAGAACCUUACCAGGGCUUGACAUCCCUUGAACGCCGUAGAGAUACGGUUUCCCUUCGGGGCAAGGAGACAGGUGGUGCAUGGUUGUCGUCAGCUCGUGUCGUGAGAUGUUGGGUUAAGUCCCGCAACGAGCGCAACCCCUGUUGUUAGUUGCCAUCAUUAAGUUGGGCACUCUAGCGAGACUGCCGGUGACAAAUCGGAGGAAGGUGGGGACGACGUCAAAUCAUCAUGCCCCUUAUGUCCUGGGCUACACACGUACUACAAUGGCUAUUACAGCAGGAUGCAAUAUCGCAAGAUGGAGCCAAUCCUCAAAAAUAGUCCCAGUUCAGAUUGUGGGCUGAAACUCGCCCACAUGAAGUCGGAAUUGCUAGUAAUUGCAGGUCAGCAUACUGCAGUGAAUACGUUCCCGGGCCUU
rnacentral:rRNA from 1 species